UGGUAUACAGUGUUACCUUACCUGGC
rnacentral:piRNA from 1 species